rnacentral:rRNA from 1 species
UACAGAGGGUGCAAGCGUUGUUCGGAAUUAUUGGGCGUAAAGGGCGCGUAGGCGGUGCGGUAAGUCUGUAGUGAAAUCUCUGGGCUCAACUCAGAGUCUGCUAUAGAAACUGCCGGGCUGGAGUAUGGGAGAGGAUGGUGGAAUUCCCAGUGUAGAGGUGAAAUUCGUAGAUAUUGGGAAGAACACCGGUGGCGAAGGCGGCCAUCUGGACCGUUUCUGACGCUGAGGCGCGAAAGCGUGGGGAGCAAACAGG